ACAUAGACAACUGGCAGACCAAUUAAUAAUGUGAAAACUGUCUUUGCUGUGUCUCCCAUUUUCUUUUGCUGUGAAUUUCCAAACAUACUUGUUUAUUUUAACCCUUUAAUUGGCAGAAUCUAAAGGGAUUAUAAACAUACGCAAUUAAAAGGUACAAUGAUAUAAGGAAGACUCCAAAUUAACUCAAGUAAAAGAAUCCAUAUCUCUGAAAGAGAAUCUAGUGGUGAUUGCACUCUCGAUAAGAAGAUGAAAGAGUUCAGAGAAUAGGGUCAGGAAAGUCGGCAAUAGCAGCGGCAGCUACAUUUGGUCCUCCCGCGUAGAAAUCAACAUAUGAGGCCAAUAGAAACAGCAAGUUGGCAAGUGAUGCACGAGAUAAACACCCAUGUCCCAUACCUUUCUGACGUGUAGGAAUGGAUUACAAAGAAAGAACUUAUGCAUCCACUCUACUGCCAAAAGGACACACUACAAAAGAGGAUGCCUUAGAUAGAGAGGCUGGUCAUCCCUUGUUUACAUUGUUAAGUUUGCAGAGGCAGAACACAAAGGGAAGGAAAUGGUGAUGAAAGAAAAGUUGUUCAUUGCUUUGACAUGGUUUUUAGUAGUGAUCACCAUUGUCAUAUGUGCAAACGCAACAGCAGGCCCUCGUCUGCAGACAUAUGAGUACAUGGUUCAGCCCCAAGCAGGUUGUCACUGCUGCUUUAUCGGACGGGUACCAAACCUCCGUUGUGUAAAAGUGUGCUGUGAGGAUGGCUGUUGCUCAUCCAAUUGAAGAGUCGCUGCAGUUUCCAUAUGCAGGUGUGCACCUCCACUGUUACUUGGACGGAGAAGCUUUGGCUUUCUGAAAGUAAUUACGAGAAAUGUAAGGAUGAACCAUACAACCUUACAGAAACUAUUUACGAAUGUUAAGCUUUCCUAAAUAAGAAGGUUUCUUCAUGUUGUACUUUCAAA